rnacentral:rRNA from 1 species
CAGCCGCCGCGGGAAUACGUAGGGUGCGAGCGUUAAUCGGAAUUACUGGGCGUAAAGCGUGCGCAGGCGGUUAUAUAAGACAGAUGUGAAAUCCCCGGGCUCAACCUGGGACCUGCAUUUGUGACUGUAUAGCUAGAGUACGGUAGAGGGGGAUGGAAUUCCGCGUGUAGCAGUGAAAUGCGUAGAUAUGCGGAGGAACACCGAUGGCGAAGGCAAUCCCCUGGACCUGUACUGACGCUCAUGCACGAAAGCGUGGGGAGCAAACAGGAUUAGAUACCCGUGUAGUCCCUGUCUCUUAUAC